CCUUAAUUUUUAGCAACCACCGUACUGUUCGAAAGGUCUGCCGUUCUGGUUUUUAUAAGCAUAACUGGGAGGAGAAGUUACCCUGCAGGAUUUAUAGGCCGUUUGUAUAAAGUCUACAGUCAAGCCUAGUAAAGUAAUUCACUAAAAAUGGUGGAGGUUUUUAAAUUACCGUCAAAGUAUUAAUUAUUAAACUAUUUUUACAAGAUUUAGGUUUAGUAUAUCAUGUUUUAAAGAUUCCUCUGUAAGCAAUCCGGACGCUUUAAACUCUAGUAAAUCUCUGUGGCGCACUAAAAGACUGUGAAUUCUCUGGCUAACCACAUUGACUUGAGUUUGCCUAAAACUUCGUUAACGAAUUCAUGCUACUUCUUCGGCUUAUUUAAAACAAGGCUCUCAACUGGAUAAACUUAGCAAGGUAACCUAAUUUACUUAGCGUGCACCGAAUUAAACGAAAAAGUAGAGAUGCUUCAUAGCCGUUGGGGGAAGAGAUACCCCUCCGGUUAAAAGCUAUCUUGUAAUCACUUCUGCAUGGGGGCUCGGGUAUUUUCGAAGCUUUUUGACUCGAUCGAGCAUCAGGAACUGUCAAUUCUUAAACAAAUAAUACUUGUCAGACUUUUUUAAAGCCGAAAAACGAUAUCCAGACGGUAAAUAUGCCUGUGAUUCGUAAGUUGUUUCAUGUGUUUUACUUGGUUGAGAUUUAGCAAGUUAUCUUAACUUACGAAACUGUCAUAAUUAACUGACUUAUUACCUCUAUAGACGUCUACCUCAAUGUUA